rnacentral:tRNA from 1 species
ACUCAGUUAUCUCAGUCCGUAGAGUAUCAGACUUAAAAUCUGAGGUUCUAGGUUUCAAGUACCUAAUAAAAUA